CCUACGGGAGGCAGCAGUGGGGAAUAUUGCGCAAUGGGCGAAAGCCUGACGCAGCGACGCCGCGUGAGGGAUGAAGGUCUUCGGAUCGUAAACCUCUGUCAGCAGGGAAGAACGGUCACUGUGCUAAUCAGCAGUGAAUUGACGGUACCUGCAAAGGAAGCACCGGCUAACUCCGUGCCAGCAGCCGCGGUAAUACGGAGGGUGCGUGCGUUAAUCGGAAUUACUGGGCGUAAAGCGCUCGUAGGCGGUAUGUCAAGUCAAGGGUGAAAUCCCCGCGCGCAACGUGGGAACUGCCUUUGAAACUGGCAAACUGGAGUGUGUGAGAGGAUAGUGGAAUGCCAGGUGUAGGAGUGAAAUCCGUAGAUAUCUGGAGGAACAUCAGUGGCGAAGGCGACUAUCUGGAACAUAACUGACGCUGAGGAGCGAAAGCGUGGGUAGCAAACAGGAUUAGAUACCCCAGUAGUC
rnacentral:rRNA from 1 species